AUCCCUGGGAAGAGAGGACACAUAAGGCCAGCAUCCUCAUCUUUUUCAGAUUUAACAGGCACAACUUGCAUUCAAUGCCACCAGUUGGGAGGUAGAGGCAGGAAGGUUGAGUUAAAGAAAACUGAAGAUUGAACUCAGGGCCUCUGCAUGCCAGGAAAGCACUCAAUCAUGGAACUGCAAUGAAGUGUCUGACCACCAAAUAAGUUUCACACAAGUGGCUGGUGCUGAAUAGCUCCAGCAAUCUUUAUUUAUGUAUCUAAAACAAACAUCUUUUUCAAUACUAACAAACAAGUUCUUCUCAUC